AGUUGGUGAGCCUUUUACCGAUGCACAAGUUCAUUGUAUCAUUGAUAUGGCUGACGGUAAGUUAUUACAUUUGUGUGUCCAGGAAAAAAACGGUCCCUUUAACACUCAUCAUUUACUACUCAGUACAGCACUGAAUAGAAGAUCAUAAAAAAAGUAUAACUACCUUCGAUGUUUCAGUAUAGGCAUCCAAUCUAGAUACCAAUACUUAGAGGUUUUAAAAAUUGGGUAACAUAAGACAAAUCUGAUCAGGAGCUGCAAAAAAUAUUUGUUUAUUUAUUUACUAAUAUUUUCCCAGGUAAAUCCCUUCAGCAAAGCUGAUAUAAAUAGGUGACAUGGAUAACAAAAUUAUAAGGGAAAAGAAAAAUGUAUCCCCUUCCAUUGACAUUUGGGGCUAAACAUGAUUUUUUUUUUCAGUGACAGGAAAGGAUUAUUGCUGCCGGGGAGGAGGCUGAAGCUGCACUUUUACGAAGAAGAGAGAACAUAGACCGAAGAAAUGUUCGAGAGGAGCAGGGAUAGGGAAAGACAACGUUUGUUAGAAAUUGAAGAGAGACAGAAAAAAUAGACGUGACCAGCAAGACA